GAUGAACGCUGGCGGCGUGCCUAAUACAUGCAAGUCGAGCGGUAAGGCCUCUUCGGAGGUACACGAGCGGCGGACGGCUGAGUAACACGUAGGAACAUACCCCAAAGUGAGGGAUAACUGCUCGAAAGAGUAGCUAAUACCGCAUGUGGUCUUCGGAUUAAAGCUUCGGCGCUUUGGGAAUGGCCUGCGUCUGAUUAGCUAGAUGGUGAGGUAAAGGCUCACCAUGGCGACGAUCAGUAGCUGGUCUGAGAGGAUGAUCAGCCAGACUGGGACUGAGACACGGCCCAGACUCCUACGGGAGGCAGCAGUAGGGAAUUCUCCACAAUGGGCGAAAGCCUGAUGGAGCAACGCCGCGUGCAGGAUGAAUGCCUUUGGGUUGUAAACUGCUUUUAUAUGUGACGAAUAUGACGGUAGCAUAUGAAUAAGGAUCGGCUAACUCCGUGCCAGCAGCCGCAGUAA
rnacentral:rRNA from 1 species